AAACGCUCAACGCAGGGGGUGCACUGCUUAUCCAGAAGCCGGGCUCAUGGCUGAGGACAGUGUCAUCCCUGAAGUUGGAUAUUGCCGGAGAAGGAUGUGGUUAGAGAUUGUGGUUAGAGACUCUGGAAGGGUCUCUAAAGCCCCAGGAGAGAGAACGUGCAGCCUCAGACAGGAUCAGCUCUUCCAGGAUCAGGUCCAAGGUCAAGGGUUCUUUGGAGCAUCAACUCCGACCUUGAUGUCCUUACCGGCUGCCCAGACCGGCUUCGACUCUCUGUAAAUGUUGACUUUUUAAGUUAGUACUUUUUCUUUCAAAGAAUUCUUUUGGUUUUGAGGUUAUUCCUUGAUAUUUCGUGUAUAAAUGCUGCCUCAUUUUGAUGGUUUUAUUAGUCAUCUCUGCCAAUAACACACCUCAUCAUAGGUUUUAGCCCUAAAACUAGACUCAGUUAUUAUGAGGGCAUCACAACGCCAAGUGAAACCUACAACAAACUCUUUGGGUCUUGGUUUCUCUGGACCUGCUUCCAUCAUCAUAAUCUGGUUCACAGUAAGUGCUACGUUCGAAAAGAUGUGUCUUUUCUGGACAAAAAAUGUCUGUGAAGCUUGUUUUGUAAAGGAUUAGGCAUUAAGUUAAAUUGGAUUAAAAAUAAGUACUAAAAAGUUUGCUCUCCUGGUGUGGCUAAGAGUGCUGAACUAUAAAUUUGAAAACAGACCUUAUUAAAACUUAAAUGGUUGUAAACAUUAGCAAUAAAAACAAAUACAUGCUUACGUUUUCUGAGA